UGGUGGAGUGAUUUGUCUGGUUAAUUCCGUUAACGAACGAGACCUCAGCCUACUAAAUAGUUAUGCAAAUCUUUCUAUCCAAGGCGGCGUCGGCCUGUGCCGUUGGGCUUGCCUGGCGGUGCAGUUCGCUGGCGUGCCUAGUCAGAUUUGUAGACAACUUCUUAGAGGGACUAAUGGUGUUUAGCCAUUGGAAGUUUGAGGCAAUAACA
rnacentral:rRNA from 1 species